AACAAACGCUAGCGGCAUGCUUUACACAUGCAAGUCGAACGGAGAUAGUUUACUAUCUUAGUGGCAAACGGGUGAGUAACGCGUAGGAAUCUACCUUUUAGUGGGGGAUAACCAACGGAAACGUUGGCUAAUACCGCAUAUUCUCAGAAAUGAGGAAAGAUUUAUUGCUAAAAGAUGAGCCUGCGUCAGAUUAGAUAGUUGGUGAGGUAAUGGCUCACCAAGUCAACGAUCUGUAGCUGGUCUGAGAGGAUGAUCAGCCACACUGGGAUUGAGAUACGGCCCAGACUCCUACGGGAGGCAGCAGUGGGGAAUAUUGGACAAUGGGGGAAACCCUGAUCCAGCAAUGUCGCGUGAAUGAAGAAGGCCUUUGGGUUGUAAAGUUCUUUUACUUGUGAAGAUGAUGACUGUAGCAAGAGAAUAAGGUCCGGCUAACUUCGUGCCAGCAGCCGCGGUAAUACGAAGGGAUCAAGCGUUGUUCGGAAUGACUGGGCGUAAAGGGUGCGUAGGCGGCUAUUUAAGUAAGAUGUUAAAGAUCUAGGCUCAACCUAGAGAGUGCGUCUUAAACUGAAUAGCUAGAGUAUGAGAGAGGAAAGUGGAAUUCCUAGUGUAGAGGUGAAAUUCGCAGAUAUUAGGAGGAAUACCGGAGGCGAAGGCGGCUUUCUGGAUCAUUACUGACGCUGAGGCACGAAAGCGUGGGGAGCGAAAAGGAUUAGAGACCCUUGUAGUCCACGCCCUAAACGAUGAGUACUAGACGUUGGAUUUUUCCAGUGUCGCAGCUAACGCAUUAAGUACUCCGCCUGAGGAAUACGGUCGCAAGACUAAAACUUAAAGGAAUUGACGGGGACCCGCACAAGCGGUGGAGCAUGUGGUUUAAUUCGAAGAUACGCGAAAAACCUUACCGGCUCUUGACAUAGGGAUUUUAAAUUUAAGAGAUUAGAUUUUUCAGUUCGGCUGGAUCCUAUACAGGUGCUGCAUGGCUAUCGUCAGUUCGUGUCGUGAGAUGUUGGGUUAAGUCCCUAAACGAACGCAACCCUUUUUCUUAGUUGCUACAGGUUAUGCUGAGAACUUUAAGAAGACUGCCGAUGAUUUAAAUCGGAGGAAGGUGAGGAUGACGUUAAGUCCUCAUGGCCCUUAUGGGCCGGGCUACACACGUGCUACAAUGGUAACUACAAAGAGAUGCAAUAGGGUGACCUGGAGCUAAUCUUUAAAGGUUAUCUCAGUUCGGAUUGUUCUCUGCAACUCGAGAACAUGAAGUUGGAAUCGCUAGUAAUCGUAGAUCAGCAUGCUACGGUGAAUACGUUCACGGGUCUUGUACACACCGCCCGUCAAGCCAUGGGAGUUGGGGUUGCUUUAAAGCGAUGAGCUAACCGUAAGGAGGCAGUCGUUCACAGCAAAAUCAGUGACUGGGGCUAAGUCGUAACAAGGUAGCCGUAGGGGAACCUGCGGCUGGAUCACCUCCUUUCUAGGGAGCGAAUUUUCGCACUCUAAUAUGGAAUUGAUGUGACAGUUUUUGUGUCGAUCGUUUAUCUUUCUCAUCGCAAAGAAUUAAUUCUUUGCUUUUCUAGAGUUUGAAGUCUGUAAUAUGAUGGGCUAGUAGCUCAGUUGGUUAGAGCGCACGCUUGAUAAGCGUGAGGUCGAAGGUUCAAGUCCUUCUUGGCCCACUUUAAGGGGGUGUAGCUCAGUUGGUAGAGCGCAUGCUUUGCAAGCAUGAUGUCAUCGGUUCGAUUCCGUUUACCUCCACCACUUUUUUUCUCUAUGAAUAGUAAGAUUAUAUUUGUUCUUUAUAAAUUGUUAAUAUGAAAAGAAAUAAAAAUUUUAUUUUUGAUUCUGUUGAAUCAAAAAAUUAGAAUGAGUGUGAAUCAAGCGUAUAAGAGCAUUUAGUGAAUGCCUUGGCACUGAGAGGCGAUGAAGGACGUGGUAGACUGCGAAAAUCUGUGGGGAAGAGUCAGCAUCUGUUGAUCCGCAGGUAUCCGAAUGGGGAAACCCACCGCUUUGGCGGUAUCAUAUUUUGAAUACAUAGAAAUAUGAGGCGAACCUGGUGAACUGAAACAUCUAAGUAACCAGAGGAAAGGAAAUCAAAGAGACUUCGUAAGUAGUGGCGAGCGAAAGCGAACCAGGCAGUUGUUUAUUUUUGUUGUGAAUUGGAAUUUUUUGGAAAAUGAAACUAUAAAGGGUGAUAGUCCCGUACAAGAAAGCGACAGAUAUUUAAUGGACAACUAAAAAGUAAGGCGGGACACGUGAAAUCCUGUUUGAAAAUGGGGGGACCAUCCUCCAAGCCUA
rnacentral:rRNA from 1 species